rnacentral:rRNA from 1 species
UACGUAGGGUGCGAGCGUUGUCCGGAAUUAUUGGGCGUAAAGAGCUUGUAGGCGGUUUGUCGCGUCUGCUGUGAAAAUCCGGGGCUCAACCCCGGACUUGCAGUGGGUACGGGCAGACUGGAGUGUGGUGGGGGAGACUGGAAUUCCUGGUGUAGCGGUGGAAUGCGCAGAUAUCAGGAGGAACACCGAUGGCGAAGGCAGGUCUCUGGGCCACUACUGACGCUGAGAAGCGAAAGCCAGGGGAGCAAACGGG